rnacentral:rRNA from 1 species
AACGAACGCUGGCGGCAGGCUUAACACAUGCAAGUCGAGCGCCUCGCCAGAGGUGCGGCAGUCUGGUGAGUAGCGCGUGGGGACGGACCCUUAUCUUCAGCAUAGCCUUGGGAAUCUGGAAGUAAUACGGAAUGUGCCCUAAGGUGGAAAGGUAUAUCGGCUAAGGAUGGGCGCGCGUUGGAUUAGCUAGUUGGGGGGGUGAACGCCUAGCAAGGCGACGAGCCAUAGCUGGGCUGAGAGGAGGAUCAGCGACAUUGGGGCUGAGACACAGCCCAGAAUCCUACGGAAGGGAGGAGAGGGGAAUAUAGGACAAGGGAGGCAAGCAUGAUGCAGCCCUGCUGGGUGAGUGAUGAAGGCGGUAGGGAAGUAAAGCUGUUUCACCGGAGAAGAUAAUGACGGUAUCCGGAGAAGAAGCACCGGCUAACUUCGUG